rnacentral:rRNA from 1 species
UAUCGGGGGGGGACGCGAAGAACCUUACCAGGUCUUGACAUCUCCUGACCGCCCUGGAGACAGGGUCUUCCCUUCGGGGACAGGAUGACAGGUGGUGCAUGGUUGUCGUCAGCUCGUGUCGUGAGAUGUUGGGUUAAGUCCCGCAACGAGCGCAACCCUUGGUUCUAGUUGCCAGCAUUCAGUUGGGCACUCUAGAGCGACUGCCGGCGACAAGUCGGAGGAAGGUGGGGAUGACGUCAAAUCAUCAUGCCCCUUAUGACCUGGGCUACACACGUGCUACAAUGGAUGGUACAAAGGGCAGCAAAGCGGCGACGCAUGAGCGAAUCCCAGAAAACCAUUCUCAGUUCGGAUUGCAGGCUGCAACUCGCCUGCAUGAAGCCGGAAUCGCUAGUAAUCGCGGAUCAGCAUGCCGUUCGACCU